CUUAAAUACCAUACCACCCUGAACACACCCAAUCUCAUCUGACCUUGGAAGCUAAGCAGGGUGGGGCCUGGUUAGUACUCGGAUGGGAGACUACAUGGGAGAUAGCAAGUGAUGU
rnacentral:rRNA from 1 species